GGGGUCGUAUCUUAAAGCAAAAGAGCGGGACUCCAAAUCCCGAAGAUGCGGGUUCAAAUCCUGCCGGCCCCGCCA
rnacentral:tRNA from 1 species